UUCUUUUUUUUUUCUUUUUUAGGAAACUCUCUUGACGACCAGUGGUGAGAAGAUCGAUAAAAAGAGGAGCCUAAGGUCUUGGAAAGUCAACUGCGUGAAAUCAACGAACGUAAAGCUCAAGCUGACGAAGAAGCUCAAAGCGAACAAGUAAUUCUCGACGUAAUUAAUAAGAAAGCGAAGUUGACACGGCGUCUUAGGAAUUACCAAGUACAGCUCGUGAUUUGAAGAUUUGAUUUUGAAGAGAGAAUUCGUGAUAAUAUAAAUCGAUAUAAAGCAAAGAUAAAACAUUACGAAUUGAUGAAUUUAAACAGCGAGGAAGUAGAAGACAAGCUGUCCUCAUUGCUUGAUAAUCUUAAAACAGAAAUUGAAAAUUUGGAGAGUAUCUUAUAUGUUGUCAAGAAGAUACGCAUUGCAUACCAUACUCGAGCACAACGAUUUCAGCGAUCGCGAUAUCAUUUCUUUACCAUGGUUCAGAUUCAGUUCAAGCAAGCACUUGUGUGUCGCCAAUUUGAAGGCAGUCUGGAGCCGAAUCAUUUUAGUACAAAAAAGGAUUCAUCUGGCUUUAAUUUAGCUAAACUCUCAUUACUGACAACCCAAUUAGGUGUCACAGACACACACACAUAUAUAUAAUCAUAAAUAUUACUAUUAAAUUAUUUUAUCCUUAAUAAAUUUUCCAAAGACUAGCCCACAUAUGUAUGAUGACUGUUCCAAAA